UACGUAGGAGACGAGCGUUGUCCGGAGUUACUGGGCGUAAAGGGUGCGCAGGUGGCGGCGCGCGUGGGGGGUGAAAUCGCCCGGCUUAACUGGGCGGGGGCCUUCCAGACGGCGUGGCUUGAGCAGCGGAGGGGGACGUGGAAUUCCUGGUGUAGUGGUGAAAUGCGUAGAGAUCAGGAGGAACACCGGUGGCGAAGGCGGCCCACUGGGCCAGCACUGACGCUGAGGCGCGAAAGCUCGGGGAGCGAACGGG
rnacentral:rRNA from 1 species